AGUGGCGGACGGGUGAGUAACGCGUGAGAAUCUAGCUUCAGGUCGGGGACAACCACUGGAAACGGUGGCUAAUACCGGAUGUGCCGAAAGGUGAAAGAUUUAUUGCCUGAAGAUGARCUCGCGUCUGAUUAGCUAGUAGGUGUGGUAAGARCGCACCUAGGCGACGAUCAGUAGCUGGUCUGARAGGAUGAUCAGCCACACUGGGACUGARACACGGCCCAGACUCCUACGGGAGGSAGCAGUGGGGAAUUUUCCGCAAUGGGCGAAAGCCUGACGGARCAAUACCGCGUGAGGGAGGAAGGSUCUUGGGUUGUAAACCUCUUUUCUCAGGGAAUAAAAAAAUGAAGGUACCUGAGGAAUAAGCAUCGGCUAACUCCGUGCCAGCAGCCSCGGUAAUACGGAGGAUGCAAGCGUUAUCCGGAAUGAUUGGGCGUAAAGGGUCCGCAGGUGGCAAUGUAAGUCUGCUGUUAAAGAAUGAGGCUCAACCUCAUACCAGCAGUGGAAACUACAUAGCUAGAGUGCGUUCGGGGUAGAGGGAAUUCCUGGUGUAGCGGUGAAAUGCGUAGAUAUCAGGAAGAACACCGGUGGCGAAAGCGCUCUACUAGGCCGCAACUGACACUGAGGGACGAAAGCUAGGGGAGCGAAUGGGAUUAGAUACCCCA
rnacentral:rRNA from 1 species